CGUAGGGGGCAAGCGUUAUCCGGAAUUACUGGGUGUAAAGGGUGAGUAGGCGGCAUGGUAAGCCAGAUGUGAAAGCCUUGGGCUUAACCCGAGGAUUGCAUUUGGAACUAUCAAGCUAGAGUACAGGAGAGGAAAGCGGAAUUCCUAGUGUAGCGGUGAAAUGCGUAGAUAUUAGGAAGAACACCAGUGGCGAAGGCGGCUUUCUGGACUGAAACUGACGCUGAGGCACGAAAGCGUGGGGAGCGAA
rnacentral:rRNA from 1 species